GGUGGGGUAACGGCUCACCUAGGCGACGAUCCCUAGCUGGUCUGAGAGGAUGACCAGCCACACUGGAACUGAGACACGGUCCAGACUCCUACGGGAGGCAGCAGUGGGGAAUAUUGCACAAUGGGCGCAAGCCUGAUGCAGCCAUGCCGCGUGUAUGAAGAAGGCCUUCGGGUUGUAAAGUACUUUCAGCGGGGAGGAAGGGAGUAAAGUUAAUACCUUUGCUCAUUGACGUUACCCGCAGAAGAAGCACCGGCUAACUCCGUGCCAGCAGCCGCGGUAAUACGGAGGGUGCAAGCGUUAAUCGGAAUUACUGGGCGUAAAGCGCACGCAGGCGGUUUGUUAAGUCAGAUGUGAAAUCCCCGGGCUCAACCUGGGAACUGCAUCUGAUACUGGCAAGCUUGAGUCUCGUAGAGGGGGGUAGAAUUCCAGGUGUAGCGGUGAAAUGCGUAGAGAUCUGGAGGAAUACCGGUGGCGAAGGCGGCCCCCUGACGAAGACUACGUCAG
rnacentral:rRNA from 2 species